UACGUAGGGUCCGAGCGUUGUCCGGAAUUAUUGGGCGUAAAGGGCUCGUAGGCGGUUAGUCACGUCGGGAGUGAAAACUCAGGGCUCAACCCUGAGCGUGCUUCCGAUACGGGCUGACUAGAGGUAUGCAGGGGAGAACGGAAUUCCUGGUGUAGCGGUGGAAUGCGCAGAUAUCAGGAGGAACACCGGUGGCGAAGGCGGUUCUCUGGGCAUUACCUGACGCUGAGGAGCGAAAGCAUGGGGAGCGAACAGGAUUAGAAACCCCAGUAGUCC
rnacentral:rRNA from 1 species